rnacentral:rRNA from 1 species
UACAGAGGUCCCAAGCGUUGUUCGGAUUCAUUGGGCGUAAAGGGUGCGUAGGUGGCGGGGUAAGUUGGAUGUGAAAUCCUGGGGCUCAAGCCUAGAACUGCAUUCAAUACUGCCUUGCUGGAGUACUGGAGAGGAGAUUGGAAUUUACGGUGUAGCAGUGAAAUGCGUAGAUAUCGUAAGGAAGACCGGUGGCGAAGGCGGAUCUCUGGACAGUUACUGACACUGAGGCACGAAGGCCAGGGGAGCAAACGGG